rnacentral:rRNA from 1 species
UACAGAGGGGGCAAGCGUUGUUCGGAAUUACUGGGCGUAAAGGGCUCGUAGGCGGCCAACUAAGUCAUACGUGAAAUCCCUCGGCUUAACCGGGGAACUGCGUCUGAUACUGGAUGGCUUGAGUUCGGGAGAGGGAUGCGGAAUUCCAGGUGUAGCGGUGAAAUGCGUAGAUAUCUGGAGGAACACCGGUGGCGAAGGCGGCAUCCUGGACCGAGUACUGACGCUGAGGAGCGAAAGCCAGGGGAGCAAACGGG